rnacentral:lncRNA from 1 species
GUUCCUAUACGACUCAAAUGAAUCAUAUAAGAAGGAAUAAUCACAUUAGGGGUUUGACAUAAUAUAUCCAUAUCCUAGUAAUGUGUUUGAGAGUAUUGUUUUAGAGAAGGAUCGAAUUACAUUGUAAUUCCAACUGAAUAGGUUCUCCGAACAACUUCUACAUUAGCUUGGGUAGAUAUGACAUAUGGUUAGAUGUCACUCAUAGCUUGUGAGUUCUUCUAGAUGAUUAAAUGUAGUCCUCAAAGAAGAAAGGUGAAUUAAAAGGAAGUUUUUAAUUCACUAAGUGAUUGGAUUAAAUAUAAUCAAUUGGAUUGAUAUCAAUCACCUCACUGCCUUGCUAAUUGAACCUAAAAUGAUUGUACACCGAUACACUCUUGUAGUGAGUAAUUAAUGGAUGAUGGAAAUAAUUAAUUGGAUUAAUUAAGUGUUGUGAUUAAUUUAGAAAGUCUAAAGAAAUCAUAAUAGCGAUAAAAGAUCGUUUUGGGCUUAAAGAAACGUUCGGGUUUAAUUGGGCCCAUUGGGUUCAUUGGGCUUUUAUUCAAGCAUUGGAUGACUAGAAAUAAAUAAAAGCCCAAAGCCCAAACCAACACAAAGGGGCUGGCCCUUGCAAGUGGAGAGGGAGAGAUAUUUAGUCAAGUUGUUGACUAGGUUUCUUUUUGUCUAUAUAAGGAACUUUAUAGAGUUUUAAUCCUUAGGGUUUUUUGUGUGUUUUAAAACAACAAAGAGGCUAAAGAAAACAUCUCUCUAAAACCACAAAGGCCGGCCACCUAGAGGGUGAAUUAGCUAACAAUCUUUCACCCUUUUGGUUAUUCCUCCAUCCAUCUCACUACACUAGUGGGUGUGGAUAUUUAG